AAAAAAACAAAAAGACCCCAACAAAAACGGUGGUUUCUUUGUUGGCUAAGGAAUUUAGAUUAGCCAUUUCCCUACCCAAAAUGGAGUAAAUCUGAUUGGAUCUUAUUUGAUUUGUAAAGAUGCGCGCGCACACUCUCAAGGCGACAGAAGAAGAGCGAAAAGCAAAAGGGCCAGGCGUUGCACCAUUUUCUUGGUUUCGAGUUUCGGGUGCCGAAUUAAGGUCACCGGUGAUAAUUUUAGUUGGAGGUUCCGAUCCCGAUUCAUUUUUCCGGCCGCAAGGGUCUCUUUGUUUCAGUCCGUGUAACUGCUGGAAUAUUAUUACUAUAAAGAGAUUUCAGGUUCAUUUCUCACUUUCAUGUAUUUAAUGAGUCAUAACUGAUGUUGAUUUACAUGUGUUUAUGUGAAAAUAGUAAUUUAGAUCUGUUUCGUAUUUUCAAGUGUUGAAGUUAUUUUCAGUAGAUCUGUGUUUUUUGUGUUAAAUAUAAGUCAAAGGUGCAAUUACGAUGACAAAAACAGUAAUGUUUUAGCUCAAUUUUUUCCAUACGUGUCUUUUCAUUUUUUAUGCAAAGGCCAUAAUAAUUUCUAUGUGGUGAUUUAAUUUUAUGAGGGUGUCUACUUAUUAUUGAUUCAAGAUUGCAUUUUUAAUUCGUCCCAGUUCAUUUUGUGAAAGCUUGAUGUCCUCCAUUGUCAAUUGUAAUGUGGGAUUUAGCAAGUCUAGCUUUAAAUGCUUGCCACCUUUGUGUCAUUCAACCGAAAAGUGAUAAGGACGACACAUAGUAGUAGAUAUCUUGAUUAUUGUGGACUUUGAGUUAGGUAACGGGUUCAAGCUAAAAGGUAUUCCUUUUGUUUGGCCCGAACUUGAACUUGAAGUUGGAAUUCUAUUAUAAUUAAUUAGGACAUUUUAUUUUCUUUUAGAGACAAAAAAAAAAAGAAAAUAUAGUAGCUUUUUAGGUUCACCUUUAUAAAAAUGAGACAGCCUUGCCCAAUAAAAUACAAAAUUGCGGGGCCCUCAAUAAAGGUCUAAAAAAUUUUAAAAAAUCGGGAAGGGCCGUUUAGCGAAUUUUACGACCCUCCCAAAAGAUUACAACGCGUUAGACCCUAUUAGGCGCGACUUUAAUAAAUCACAUUCCUAAAUACGGGUGAGCAUUUUAUGCGGCCCAAAUCCAAAUUCUAAAAUGCUGAAUAGAGUGUACCUAGGAUUGCGGGUUCAUUUGAUGCGGCGCAAUCCGAAAUCACACUUUAAACGACGUUCACUUUCUCUUAAAAAUAUUAUAUUAAAUAAAAGCGGUUAAGCAUAAAAUUGACACAUAGGCACUUCAUGUAAUAAAAUCAGAUAAAAGUUAAAUAUAACAGUUGAGCGACUAUGGUAGAACCACGGAACCCGGGAAUGCCUAACACCUUCUCCCGGGUUAACAGAAUUCCUUAUCUGGAUUUCUGGUUCGCGAACAGAGUCAUCUUUUUUCUCGGUUCUGGAUUCAACCGGUGACUUGAGACACCAUUAAUCUCCCAAGUGGCGACUCUGAAUAAAUAAUAAUAAAAUCCUGUUCCAAUCGUCCUUUAAGUGGAAAAACUCCUUUACGCCCCUUUGCGGGGGUGUAUAGCGAAAAAGGAGGUGGAAUAUUUUAGCUCAAAAAUCCCACAAAAAAAUAUGAUUGUCCUUUCAUUUUUAGCUUUCAUAUUAGUUUCAGCAUUCAAAUACACCAAAAAUACAAAAAAAGAACAUACAGAAAAAUAGAAAACAACAAAUAUCUACUGUUUCAUUGAGCGUGAUUAGAUUCUGGGUUCCUCUUUUUGGUUUUCUGUUAUAAUUUGGUCUGGGGUGCAUUGUGGACUGGUUUGGGUCAAUUCCUGCUAGUUUCUAGCUGUUCUGUGGAUUCUCUUGGAUUAUCUACUGGUUUUUGUUUUCAAAAGCAUUUUCUGAGUCUUGAAGGCUGCUGUGUCCUUAUUGAUGUGCUCUGGUUGUUUGAAUUUGUUGCUGUCCUCUACUUUCCCUUUGUUACUUUGCUUUCCAGGUAUCUCUACAGCUUCUCUUGUAAACUAUGAAAGGACAUGUGAAUCUGAUUUGUAUUUUCAAUGGCAAAGUGCAUUUGGAAUAGCUGAAUGAGUGGGUUGUUACAUUAAGUUUAGUCUAGUAUAUUCCUUGGUUUAAUUCAAUUGGAGUUUGUACGAAAGAAUUUGGUACUACAUUAGGACCUAUGUGAAUUGCUUGAACUGAUUGAUUGCUUGGGUGCAUGUUUUGUAGACCAUAGUCGAUUUUAUUUUUGUAAGUUCGAACAGGUAAGAUGUGGACUGAUAUUGUGAUAGUUGAUGGUAUUAUCUGAGCUGAUUAUGGUACUUUAAAAUGCUCAUUGAAUUCUGAUUGUAAUUGUGGGUUAAUUCGUGUUAAUAAUUCAAGUUAAGUUUAAUUUGCUUAUGUUAAUAGCUCAUGUUAGGUACUGGGAUUUUAUGUUAACGCCUAGCAGGGACUGGUUUGAUUAAAAACGUGUUAGUGAUUCAAUAGAGCCACUUUCUUUUCUAGCAUAAAUGGUAGCUGAACAUUAAUAAGCCAAUAUUCAAGCUGAAAAUCUGUUUGCAAUGUUGGAUCCCCUUCCCUCACUUCUGUAUGUAGAGGUCGUCCUGGGCCACAGCUUGGGCCCAAAAAAAUGGCCAGGUUCAACAUAUGCCGUGAUAAUUCGAUAUUUCUCUCCCCCCCCCCCCCCCCCCCCCCCCCCCNNNNNNNNNNNNNNNNNNNNNNNNNNNNNNNNNNNNNNNNNNNNNNNNNNNNNNNNNNNNNNNNNNNNNNNNNNNNNNNNNNNNNNNNNNNNNNNNNNNNNNNNNNNNNNNNNNNNNNNNNNNNNNNNNNNNNNNNNNNNNNNNNNNNNNNNNNNNNNNNNNNNNNNNNNNNNNUAUGAUACGCUUCUCCUCUCGUUGGGUCUUUUAGGCCCGUCUGAAAAUUUAUUAGAAGCUUAAAUAACAUUAAUUUGGGUUUCCAGUUAGGUAGCGAGUUCUAAGCUAAAAGGCUCGUCCUUUUGUUCAGACCGGAACUUGAACUCGAAACCCGAGCCUUUAAUAAUAAUCAAUUAGGAAUUUUCCUUUUUUUUUAGAGACAAAAAUAAAAAAUAGAAAAUAUAGUCACUUUGUAGGUUUAUCCUUUUAAAAUAAAAGAGACGAGCCUCGCCCAACAAUAAUACAAAUUGUGGGGCCCUCAAUAAUGGUUUAAAAGAUAUUUAGAAGAUCGGGAAGGGCCGUUUAACGAAUUUCACAGCUCUCCCAAAAGAUAAUAGCGCGCUAGAGUCUUUUAGGCGCGUAUUUUAAUAAAUUACAUUCCUAAAUGCGGGUGGGCAUUUUAUGCGUCCCAAAUUCAAAUCCUAAAAUGUUGAAUAGAGUGUGCCUAGGAUUGCAGGUUUAUUUGAUGCGGUGCAAUCCAAAAACACACUUUAAACGACGUUCACUUUCUGUUAAAUAAAUAUUAUAUUAAAUAAAAGCAGUAAAAAAGUAAAAAUUGGCACAUAGGUUCUUCAUGUAAUAAAAUCAGAUAAUAAGCUAAAUGCAACAGUUGAGCGACCGUGUUAGAACCACGGAACUCAGGAAUGCCUAACACCUUCUCCCUGGUUAACAGAGUUUCUUAUCCGGAUUUCUGGUUCGCAGACUGUUAACAGAGUCAUAAUCUUACUUGGUUUGGGAUUCAAAUAGGUGACUUGGGAUACCAUUAAUCUCCUAAGUGGCGACUCUGAAUAAAUAAUAAAUAAAUUCCGUUCCGAUUGUCCUUCAUUUGGAAAAACUCCUUUACGCCCCUUUGUGGGGUGUAUUGCGAAGGAGGUGUGACAUGAAACACAAAGCAAGAAAGUCGAUUUAAGAAUACAAGAGAACAUGUUUUUUAGAAAAGUCGGGACUUAAGUAAGUUUAGAAGAAAAGAGAGUAUACGAACUUACACAACAAAAACAAAAGAAAAGAAUAGAUUAACAUUCUUAGUAAGAACACAAAUGAGUUCAGCAAAACAAAAAAUCAAAGAAAUCAAUGGUAAUCACAUAUAGUAAAAGAGUAAGGAAAAAAUGUGAGUACAGGAAUAACAUGUAGAGUAGGAAAAGAAAUUAGAAGAACAGUACAUGCGUAGUAAAAGAAAUCGCACGAGCAUAACACAUACAAACACACAUAAAGAAAGAACAGAAAGAAUCGGCAAGAUGCUUUUUGAAAAACCUUUCAGAAACCCUAAAUCGAAAAUAAAUGAUUAUGAAAAGAAAAUUUGGGGAAAGUUUUUAGAAAGUUCAGUAGAACACAGACAUAUUCCAGAUCUAAGAAAAUAAGCAAGGGACAACAUAGGGUUUUGGAGAAAACCCUAGAAAUGAGAAAGGUCUUGAGGAAAGUCAGAUCCUAAGUCAGAAAGGCUCAAAGUUCUUGAAUAUGCCGGAGUAAUUGCCAGAGAGGCCGUGGAACCAAAAGAUCUAAGAAGAUCUCCAGAGUACCAUCAAAGUCGGGCCUCAAAUCAUCGAACAAACAAGAUUGAAUGGUGGCUAAGGAUGUGUAUGGGCCAUCCGUGGCCUGAGAGGCCAUGGAUUCCGGUGAAAAUAUGGUGAAGGAAGGCGGGAAGAGGCUAGGGUUUCGAAGGGAUUUGAGAGCAUGUUGAGAGACGAAGGGAUUUCAAAGGCGUCUAAGAGAUGAAAAAUGAGGGAUUAGGGUAGUCUUUGGGUUUAAUUAGAAUAGGGCGAGCUAUGGCCGUUGAUCUGAGGGUUCAACGGCCCAAAUUUUAAGAGGGUAUGUGGGUAAUGGGUUGGGUCGUCUGGUAAUUGGGUUGUGCGUUGAGUCCAAAUUGAAACUUGUCCGGUUUAAUUGGGUAGAAUUGUUCAAUUUAAGGGCCAAAAUUAAAAUGAAAGGUUGUAAUUGAAAUAGAAAUGGGGCUAAAUAUUAAAUAGCCAAUUUUUCCUUUUUAUUUAUAAAAAUAGUAAAUAUGAUUUAAAAAUCAAAUUGAAAGUUCUUAAACAAUUAAUAGUAUAUAAAUAUUAAUUUAAAAAUACUGGACCUAAUUUUAUAGUUAUAAAAUGCUAUUAAUCUUAAAGUAGGUUAUAAUUGUAAUUAUAUGCAAUUUAGUCUUUUAAAUACCAAAUAAAUUUGUAAAAAUAUACAAAAAAUUACCUUAACUAUUUUUGGUAUAAAUAUGAGAAUAAAAUAAAUUUUCACCAAAACUGAGAGUUUUUUGAAAUAAUUACUUAUUUUGUACUGCUAAAAAUGGACAAUAAAUUGAUUUUAAACUCUUUAAAAAUUAGAAAAAAUACCAAAAUACUUGGGCUUGCUUAUGAAAUUUUAUUUUGAAAGUAUUCUGUAUAUAAAAAUACAUAGAGAAAAACUGGGUAUCAAUAGGUGCCUGAUGUCCUUCUAUGCGAUCCCGAAGAUACAAACGCGAUUGCGUAGGGUAUUUGUUGAGUGACCCAUUUUCCUUAUUUGUGUUCGCAGUGGAUGGUUCACGUUCACGAACGUAUACAUUUUACUGCAUCGCGUUUGCAUUCUUUCUUCCGCGAUCGCGUAGAGCCUUUUGUGGGAAGUAUCAUUUCUUCUUUGCGUUCGCAUUCAGCUGUUCCCGUUAGCGUAGCACAUAAUCGGGAGCUGAUAUUUUUCUUCUUCGCAAUCGCAUACAAAUCUUUGCGAUCACGAUUCUUGUUACUGGAGCAGCAUAAUAUAUUUUCCAAAAUCAAGGGUUUGUCCAUUUUUCAUCUUUUGAGCUAGAUGCCUCUGAUUUGGGCAAUGUUUUAGGGGUUAUUCACGUAAUUGUUCGGGGUAAGUGAUAUUUUCCCGGAUUUAAGUUUAUUUCAUGAUUUAAUCUUUGUUUUUAUCAUUUAAUUAGUUAAUUUAAUGGAAGAAAAUAUAACUUUUGUAAUAUCUUUCACAAAUGUAAAAAGGAUUUGAAUGGCGAUUCGAUAUCAGAAUUUUUAAUAAUUUUGAUAUGAUUGGACUCAUAUUAGAAUGGAUGUUCGGGUUUUAUUGGGUUUUAAGGUGCGCGCCCGGUGGUUGACUUUUUACUUUUAGUUAAAGAUAUAAACUUUAUUACCCGGAAUUGUUUCCUAUGAGUUGUAUUUAUGAUUUGAAGUUAUUUUUGCUAGAUUUGAGCCAUCUAGAGGUUGUUUCGCCGAAGGUCAUUUUAGUGUAUCGGUCUAGAUUUUAGUGUAUCGGUCUAACACGAGGUGACGAGUACGUACUCGGGCUUAAUUAUCGAAAUUUGACCGUUUAGGGCCCUUAGAUUUUUAUGUUCAUUAGAUAUGAAGUUUUUUUAUCAUGUUAAAUUGUCUACUUAGUAAAUUUACACGUACAUUUCUAAUUUAGAUUUUCUUUGAUUCACGUUUUACCCUUGUUUCCAAUUGAACCCUUAUGUGCCUUAAUUGAAGUUGUUGCCUCUUUUGUUGCCAUGCUAUCUUUUACGUUAUUGCCUUUCCUUAAUUGAAGUCAUUAUUAUAUUUUUCAUAAUUGCUUAUCCUUACCUGAAGUUAUUAUUAUUAUCUCUUCCAAAAUUGCUUACCCUUAAUUGAAUUUGUUGUUAUCUCUUCCGUUAUUGCUCGACCUUAAAUGAAAAUUUGUUAUCCCUUUUCAUUGUUGACUUAUCCUUAUUUGGAAUCAUUGAUUCAUGGUAUCUCUCUUAUCGUCGAAUUUUACUUUUGUGAAAUCGUUGCUAUACAUUAUCUCUCCCUUGUUGAGCUAUUUUCUUUUAGACCAGUAUUCGCUGUUGUAUCUUUCUUUGUGAGCCCGUUGUACAGUUUCUCUGUGUUCUGAAGUUCCUGAGUUGAUUUACUUAUCGUAUUCUCGUGUUAUUGUUGUAGUUGUUGUUGCUGUUGUUGUUGUACUCUGUAUUGUUGAGCCCAGGGAUAUGCAUGAUUGUGGUACUGAAAAACAAGUUAUGGCAUAUAGGUACUUGUUGUGAAAGUCUUUUUAUUAUGUUGUUAUGUUUUGUCACACGUAAUUGUUGGAAGAAUUGUUCGAGUAUUUGCACGAGAUUUCUGUCGUGCUACUGUUACUAUUGCUAUUGCACAUGCGAAUUGAUAAGGCGGGCUAUAUUUGUGGGUUGCGCAUGUGGCGAGACAAGGUGAGAAUAUUAUUGUGCGCGUGAAGCGAGACAAGGCAGACAUUUACUUUAUUAUUGCGCACAUGGCGAGACAAGGUAAUCUAUGUCGGGAAAUGAUUUGUGAUGACUUGUGAUGGUCUGAGAGCUUUAUUAUUGUUGAUAUUUAUAUACUGGUGUAUCUACCUUGUGUGAGUUGUACCGUGUAUAUUUUGGGGUAAUCCUUUCUUAUGUUCCAUCCUCUAUCUCUACUCUUACUUGUUGACUUGAAUUGUGGGAGAAAACUUGCACAUGCAUACACGUAAAUAAAUUACCCAUAUCGUCUUAAGAAGAUGAAUCCUGAUGUUAUUCACCAUUUACAUGUAUUCAGGUGUGCUUGCCUUCUGUGUAAGAGUUAUUAUGUUGGCACGUGAGUUGACCGUGCAAUCAUGAGUCAUUGUUAUUGUUGGCACGUGAGUGGUCCGUGCAGAUACUAGAUGGUAUCACUCUGUUGGC
rnacentral:lncRNA from 1 species